AUUGAACGCUGGCGGCAGGCCUAACACAUGCAAGUCGAACGAGCGGCGGACGGGUGAGUAAUGUAUGGGAACGUGCCCAAUAGCGGGGGAUAACUACUGGAAACGGUGGCUAAUACCGCAUACUAUCGGAUGAACCCAUAUGGGAUUAGCUAGUAGGUGGGGUAAAGGCUCACCGAGGCGACGAUCCUUAGCUGGUCUGAGAGGAUGAUCAGCCACACUGGGACUGAGACACGGCCCAGACUCCUACGGGAGGCAGCAGUGGGGAAUAUUGCACAAUGGGGGCAAGCCUGAUGCAGCCAUGCCGCGUGUAUGAAGAAGGCCUUCGGGUUGUAAAGUACUUUCAGCGGGGAGGCGGUACCCGCAGAAUAAGCACCGGCUAACUCCGUGCCAGCAGCCGCGGUAAUUC
rnacentral:rRNA from 1 species